rnacentral:lncRNA from 1 species
AUAUAACUGGAACUCUGGGAAUGUAACGGGCAUGGUGUGCUUGUCUGAUGGACAGGGCAGCUUAGGGGAAUAAGUCUCUGCAGCGUUGUAGUGAAGAGAGAAUACGGGACAACUGCAGGACCACAGCUCAGCCAAGAUGAGCUCAAGUGUUGCAAGUAUCUGCUUAAAAUGCCAUGUGAUGCUAAUCAUCUCUGCACGAGCAGUUCAUCUCAUCUCUCCAGUAAAUUGCUUAUCACAGUAAAAGUAGGACCUCCUGCUUCAGACUCUAAGCUUCCGGAGAACAGGAACUGCAUCUUUUCUAUUUCACAUACCCAACUCCUCACACAAUGCAUGAUGCAAGUGGGAAUCUACAUAAAAUAUCUGAUGGAUAAAUGGAGUAGCACUGAUGCAUAUGAGACCCAGUGUUAACCAGAGGAAGCAAUCAACUCCAAGAUCAACUGCCAAGAUAAAAACCAGGACCAAGGAAAGCUUCUGAGAUAAAAUGAUUUUUAAGAUUAACGUAGUGGAUAUUUCCAAUUGUUUUUUUUAUACCCUUCAUCUG